UACGUAGGGUGCAAGCGUUGUCCGGAAUUAUUGGGCGUAAAGAGCUCGUAGGCGGUCUGUCGCGUCGGCUGUGAAAACUCGGGGCUCAACCCCGAGCCUGCAGUCGAUACGGGCAGACUAGAGUGCUGUAGGGGAGACUGGAAUUCCUGGUGUAGCGGUGAAAUGCGCAGAUAUCAGGAGGAACACCGGUGGUGAAGGCGGGUCUCUGGGCCGAUACUGACGCUGAGGAGCGAAAGCGUGGGGAGCGAACAGG
rnacentral:rRNA from 1 species